rnacentral:rRNA from 1 species
UACAGAGGGGGCAAGCGUUGUUCGGAAUUACUGGGCGUAAAGGGCGCGUAGGCGGCCGCCUAAGUCAGACGUGAAAGCCCUCGGCUCAACCGAGGAACUGCGCUUGAAACUGAAGGGCUCGAGUCAGCUAGAGGUGCACGGAACUUCCAGUGGAGCGGUGAAAUGUGUUGAUAUUGGAAGGAACACCGGAGGCGAAAGCGGUGCACUGGGGCUGGUCUGACGCUGAGGCACGAAAGCCAGGGGAGCGAACGGG